rnacentral:rRNA from 1 species
GACGAACGCUGGCGGCGUGCUUAACACAUGCAAGUCGAACGGAAAGGCCCUGCUUUUGUGGGGUGCUCGAGUGGCGAACGGGUGAGUAACACGUGAGUAACCUGCCCUUGACUUUGGGAUAACUUCAGGAAACUGGGGCUAAUACCGGAUAGGAGCUCCUGCUGCAUGGUGGGGGUUGGAAAGUUUCGGCGGUUGGGGAUGGACUCGCGGCUUAUCAGCUUGUUGGUGGGGUAGUGGCUUACCAAGGCUUUGACGGGUAGCCGGCCUGAGAGGGUGACCGGCCUCAAUGGGACUGGGCUACGGCCCAGACUCCUACGGGAGGCAUCAGUGGGGAAUAUUGCACAAUGGGCGGAAGCCUGAUGGAGCAACGGCGCGUGCGGGAUGACGGCCUUCGGGUUGUAAACCGCGUUCGCCUGUGACGAAGCGUGAGUGACGGUAAUGGGUAAAGAAGCACCGGCUAACUACGUG